GUUUGCGAGCUAUUGGAUAGGAGCGGGGUUUUACCCUUGCGCACCCAAAGGGUAGCGACUGCGGGUUUCCCUGCUUUGGCUGACCAUUUUUCCCCCCAAUAGUCGUCACAAUGAUGUGACCUGUUUCAGUUCCAUUCCCAUCCACAACAGCGGCUUCCAUUUCCUUUCCUUCUUUGUCAUCGUUGAUCUUCAUUGCAUUUAUUUCUUUAGGUAGGUUGUCAAUAAGCACAACAUCAGUAAUAGGUUUGCCAGCUGCUGAAGACAUAAUACUGCCCGAAGCCAUGUCACUGAAUAACAAAUAAACUUCCUUAUAGUACUGAUAAAUGGUUAUGACUCAAGUGACAGAUUGUCUGCUUCUCAAAACCUGCAGCGGUGAAGUGAAUUGCUCGCAUUGGCGAUGGAAAAUUGUGAGUGAAACAGCAAAACCCUAAGCGCGGAAGAAAUAAAGUGGAAGUGAAAAUGGCGUAUGGCCAAGUUUUCAGGUUCUUGGCUAUAGACUUCUGCAAUGCU
rnacentral:misc_RNA from 1 species